rnacentral:rRNA from 1 species
GAUGAACGCUCGCGGCAGGCCUAACACAUGCAAGUCGAGGGAGGAGCCUUCGGGCUUCGACCGGCGUACGGGUGCGUAACGCGUAUACAAUCUGCCUUUCACAUAGGGAUAGCCCGAAGAAAUUUGGAUUAAUACCUAAUGGUAUAUAGAUGUGGCAUCACCUUUAUAUUAAAGCUGAGGCGGUGAAAGAUGAGUAUGCGUUCUAUUAGCUAGUUGGAGAGGUAACGGCUCCCCAAGGCGACGAUAGAUAGGGGUUCUGAGAGGGAUAUCCCCCACACUGGUACUGAGAUACGGACCAGACUCCUACGGGAGGCAGCAGUGAGGAAUAUUGGACAAUGGUCGGAAGACUGAUCCAGCCAUGCCGCGUGCAGGAAGACGGCCUUAUGGGUUGUAAACUGCUUUUGCAGGGGAAGAAUAAGGACUACGCGUAGUUUGAUGACGGUACUCUGCGAAUAAGCAUUGGCUAACUCCGUG